rnacentral:rRNA from 1 species
GAUGAACGCUGGCGGCGUGCCUAAUACAUGCAAGUCGAGCGAACUGAUUAGAAGCUUGCUUCUAUGACGUUAGCGGCGGACGGGUGAGUAACACGUGGGCAACCUGCCUGUAAGACUGGGAUAACUUCGGGAAACCGAAGCUAAUACCGGAUAGGAUCUUCUCCUUCAUGGGAGAUGAUUGAAAGAUGGUUUCGGCUAUCACUUACAGAUGGGCCGGCGGUGCAUUAGCUAGUUGGUGAGGUAACGGCUCACCAAGGCAACGAUGCAUAGCCGACCUGAGAGGGUGAUCGGCCACACUGGGACUGAGACACGGCCCAGACUCCUACGGGAGGCAGCAGUAGGGAAUCUUCCGCAAUGGACGAAAGUCUGACGGAGCAACGCCGCGUGAGUGAUGAAGGCUUUCGGGUCGUAAAACUCUGUUGUUAGGGAAGAACAAGUACAAGAGUAACUGCUUGUACCUUGACGGUACCUAACCAGAAAGCCACGGCUAACUACGUGCCAGCCGCCGCCGUAACAC